rnacentral:rRNA from 1 species
CAAUAGCGUAUAUUAAAGUUGUUGCGGUAAAAAAGCUCGUAGUUGGAUUUCUGUUGAGAGCGACCGGUCCAUACCAUGUAUGCGUAUCUGGCUUGCUCUCGGCAUCCUCUCGAUAGACGUUACUGCGCUUGAUUGCGUGGUGCGGAUCUCGGGACUUUUACUUUGAGGAAAUUAGAGUGUUCACGGCAGGCCUUCGCCAGAAUACAUUAGCAUGGAAUAAUACUAUAGGAUCUUGGUUCUAUUUUGUUGGUUUCUAGAAUUGAGAUAAUGAUUAAUAGGGACAAUUGGGGGCAUUCGUAUCAACACGUCAGAGGUGGAAUUCUUGGAUUGUGUUGCGACGAACUACUGCGAAAGCAUUUGCCAAGGAUGUUUUCAUUGA